rnacentral:rRNA from 1 species
CACGUAGUUAGCCGUGGCUUUCUGAUUAGGUACCGUCAAGAUGUGCACAGUUACUUACAUAUUUGUUCUUCCUAAUAACAGAGUUUUGCGAGCCGAAACCCUUCAUCACUCACGCGGCGUUGCUCCGUCAGGCUUUCGCCCAUUGCGGAAGAUUCCCUACUGCUGCCUCCCGUAGGAGUCUGGACCGUGUCUCAGUUCCAGUGUGGCCGAUCACCCUCUCAGGUCGGCUACGUAUCGUCGCCUUGGUAAGCCGUUACCUUACCAACUAGCUAAUACGGCGCGGGUCCAUCUAUAAGUGAUAGCAAAAACCAUCUUUCACUUUAGAACCAUGCGGUUCUAAAUAUUAUCCGGUAUUAGCUCCGGUUUCCCGAAGUUAUCCCAGUCUUAUAGGUAGGUUACCCACGUGUUACUCACCCGUCCGCCGCUAACUUCAAAGGAGCAAGCUCCUUAUCUGUUCGCUCGACUUGCAUGUAUUAGGCACGCCGCCAGCGUUCAUCCUGAGCCAGACGUCAAAACUACUUAC